rnacentral:rRNA from 1 species
GACGAACGCUGGCGGCGUGCUUAACACAUGCAAGUCGAACGGAAAGGCCCUGCUUUUGUGGGGUGCUCGAGUGGCGAACGGGUGAGUAACACGUGAGUAACCUGCCCUUGACUUUGGGAUAACUUCAGGAAACUGGGGCUAAUACCGGAUAGGAGCUCCUGCUGCAUGGUGGGGGUUGGAAAGUUUCGGCGGUUGGGGAUGGACUCGCGGCUUAUCAGCUUGUUGGUGGGGUAGUGGCUUACCAAGGCUUUGACGGGUAGCCGGCCUGAGAGGGUGACCGGCCACAUUGGGACUGAGAUACGGCCCAGACUCCUACGGGAGGCAGCAGUGGGGAGUAUUGCACAAUGGGCGGAAGCGUGAUGCAGCAACGCCGCGUGCGGGAUGACGGCCUUCGGGUUGUAAACCGCUUUCGCCUGUGACGAAGCGUGAGUGACGGUAAUGGGUAAAGAAGCACCGGCUAACUACGUG